CAACUCGCCUGCAUGAAGUCGGAAUUGCUAGUAAUCGUAGGUCAGCAUACUACGGUGAAUACGUUCCCGGGCCUUGUACACACCGCCCGUCAAACCAUGAGAGUUGGCAACACCCGAAGUCGGUAGUCUAACCGCAAGGAGGACGCCGCCGAAGGUGGGGUUGAUGAUUAGGGUUAAGUCGUAACAAGGUAGC
rnacentral:rRNA from 1 species